rnacentral:rRNA from 1 species
GGCCUAACACAUGCAAGUCGAACGGUAGCACAGAGGAGCUUGCUCCUUGGGUGACGAGUGGCGGACGGGUGAGUAAUGUCUGGGAAACUGCCCGAUGGAGGGGGAUAACUACUGGAAACGGUAGCUAAUACCGCAUAACGUCGCAAGACCAAAGAGGGGGACCUUCGGGCCUCUUGCCAUCGGAUGUGCCCAGAUGGGAUUAGCUAGUAGGUGGGGUAACGGCUCACCUAGGCGACGAUCCCUAGCUGGUCUGAGAGGAUGACCAGCCACACUGGAACUGAGACACGGUCCAGACUCCUACGGGAGGCAGCAGUGGGGAAUUUUGGACAAUGGGCGCAAGCCUGAUCCAGCCAUUCCGCGUGAGUGAAGAAGGCCUUCGGGUUGUAAAGCGC